rnacentral:rRNA from 1 species
CCAGCCGACAACGGGUACGGGUUGUGAGAGCAAGAGCCCGGAGAUGGAUUCUGAGACAUGAAUCCAGGCCCUACGGGGCGCAGCAGGCGCGAAAACUUUACAAUGCAGGAAACUGUGAUAAGGAAACACCGAGUGCCCGCAUCUAAUGCGGGCUGUCCAUAUACUCAAAAAGUAUGUGUUAGCAAGGGCCGGGCAAUACCGGUGCCAGCCGCCGCGGUAAUACCGGUGGCCCGAGUGGUAGCCGCUUUUAUUUGGUCUAAAGGGUCCGUAGCCGGUCCGGUCAGUCCAUUGGUAAAUCCGCGCGCCCAACGCGCGGUCUUCAGUGGAUACUUCCGGACUUGGGACCGGGAGAGGUAAGAGGUACUAUAGGGGUAGGAGUGAAAUCUUGUAAUCCUUAUGGGACCACCUGUGGCGAAGGCGUCUUACCAGAACGGGUCCGACGGUGAGGGACGAAAGCUGGGGGCACGAACCGGAUUAGAUACCCGGGUAGUCCCAGCCGUAAACUAUGCCCGCUGGGUGUCAGGCAUGGCGUGACUGUGUCU